GGGGGUGGGAAGCUGGAGCAACAGGGCCAGGAGGUGUGGGAGCGGGAGACACUAGAGUAACCUAUGUGCACAGCCUCUCCAUAUACCAUGUGCUGGUGCGCCUGCUAGUAAUCGACGACAUUAGGCAAGAGAAACAGCGGCUCCUCAAGUCCUGCCCAAAGACCGUCCAGAAACCCCAGCCUCCGGUCGCCUUCUCGCCGCCUCCGCUGGGAGCCGCAGAUCAGUCCAAGUUGACGGACAGGAGGCGAAAUGUGCAAAUGUUUAUGGUUUCAUCUGGGUGGAAAAGGAGCUCUGGUAACUUUGGCCAAGACUUUUCAGUAGGAAAUGCUUCAAAAUACAAAGCAAGAGCUAUUUUCAAGAAAGACCUUCUAAAUUUAUAUUAGGUUGACAUGAUGAAAGAAGCAUUAGAAAAACUUCAGCUCAAUAUAGUAGAGAUGAAAGAUGAAAAUGCAACUUUAGAUGGCGGAGACGUUUUAUUCACAGGCAGAGAAUUUUUUGUGGGCCUUUCCAAAAGGACAAAUCAACGAGGUGCUGAAAUCUUGGCUGAUACUUUUAAGGACUAUGCAGUCUCCACAGUGCCGGUGGCAGAUGGGUUGCAUUUGAAGAGUUUCUGCAGCAUGGCUGGGCCUAACCUGAUCGCAAUUGGGUCUAGUGAAUCUGCACAGAAGGCCCUUAAGAUCAUGCAACAGAUGAGUGACCACCGCUACGACAAACUCACUGUGCCUGAUGACAUAGCAGCAAACUGUAUAUAUCUAAAUAUCCCCAGCAAAGGGCACGUCUUACUGCACCGAACCCCGGAAGAGUAUCCAGAAAGUGCAAAGGUUUAUGAGAAACUGAAGGACCAUAUGCUGAUCCCCGUGAGCAUGUCUGAACUGGAAAAGGUGGAUGGGCUGCUCACCUGCUGCUCAGUUUUAAUUAACAAGAAAGUAGACUCCUGAGCUGCAGAGUUCCCCCUGGUAGCCGGCAAGACCGCGCAGGCAAGGCCGAUGACUCUGUGCCCACUCCUGUUGUUUUCCUUGACAAUCUACUGUGCCACUGUGCUACUAACUCUUGUUUACAAAAUUUGAUUCUAAGUUGAAUUGCUUCAUUCAACACCCCCACCCUCCCUCCCCUCGCGGUGGUACCUAAGCUGUGGAUUUGCUAAAUGAAUUAAGCAACCUAGAAGAUACAGAGCUAAUGAAUUAUCAAAAUGUGAUUAAUCCUAGUAAGGAAACACUCAUUUAGUGUUUGUAUUUUUGGUGUGAAAAUUAUUUAGUUGCCAGUGUAUUCUGAAGAAUGUCUUCUUGAUCAGUCAGAUAAGCUUGCUUUUUUUUUUUCAUGAAUCAUGUUUGGUUCCUGUGAAAGUCCCUGGUCCAGGGAUCCUCCUCCUUUCUCUUUUACUUCUGAAUUCUGAAAUUCAGUUAGUUACUUUUGCCUUUCGCUCUUCUAUCACAGCCACCUUGACCUUGGGUAAAACCCAAGGUCUUUCCUUCUGGCUACCUUCCUGCAGGUCCACCCUGUCUGCCAUUGGUCUCCUCUGCCUCUGACUACAUCUGCCACCAACAACCCUCCCCUCACCCCUGCCAGGGGCAGACAGGCUUCUCAGCAGAACUGUGACUGAAAUCAGAGCUGCUGUCUGGGGCAGUGUUAACUACGCAGAGGCACAUCCUGACAGGGUUUGCCCCAGAGAUCUAAAUUCCAGAAGUAGGGCACCACACCUAGGAAGGUAAAUCCAGUAUCAGAAGGUUGCUAAAAGAUUAAAGAUCAAGAAGCUUGGAAACAUCUCAUGGGUACGAUGUCUUAGAAAGUCUUUAAGUCACAUACCAUGAAUUUUUGCUUCAUUACUGACCAUAUAUGACCUUGGAGGAACUCUUUUUUUUUUUUCCUUCAACUCAUUUCUGUUUCCACCUACCCUGACUCACCUAUUUCCAGUCUUCUACCCCUUGUAGUUAUCCUGGGCCAGCAAAGUCAUUUCUUUCAAAAGAGACAUCAUGUCUGAAAAUGAUUACUGGUAGUCUAAUAUGAGCCAGAGUAAACAGCUCCUCAUGGUCAAUGAACAUGUUCAGGAAGCGAUCACCUUGAUGCUUGAACCCAACCCCAGACAGUGGACAAUUCUACUUUGAAAUAUCCAUGAAUAUUUACUGUGGAAUCCAAUUUAAAUUUCUUUCUUCUCUAGCCUUUAAAUUACACAACUUUCAACUGACACGGGUCUCUUACAAAGAACAAUGCAGCACUGAAGGAAGAGAUGAUUCCUUUACUCAAACCUGCAGGAAUCAGCCUAUUAACAGGCAGGGGAAACGGUACUUUCCAAUGAAUGGUAACUGAUCCAGGCACAUUAUCACACUUCCUAGUCAUCUCCACAUUUCCUGUAUUGCCUGUGGCUUGUUGUUUGAGAUUAAGAAUCAAAGAGAUUAAGAAAUAUCACUUCAAGUCUUGCUCUGCUCACCUCUAUGUUUGCAGUCAAAUUAUUCCUUAUGUUGGUGACCUAAAGAGAAUUACUUUCAUUCAUUUCAUUUCCCCCGUAGCAGAUGGAAGUGAGAAAAUGAAAACAUCCUUAACCACUAUCUUUCCCUUUUAUUUGAUUAUUUUAUGUCAGAAAUUUGCAAAAGUUUUUUUCUCCUCCUUCUCCUCCUUGUUGCUUAACUUUUUAAUUCAUGCCAUAUGUAGAUAUCCAAUUAUGUGCAUCCUGUGAAUAAACCACGUCUUGGUCACUGUCAUAUUUUGAACCGUCUCAUCAGAGAUGAAUAAUAUCUUUUUACCAGAGAGAGAAUGAAUGUUAGCCACAUGCCCGAGUUAACAAGAUAAAAUGUUCUCAAGGUUGCCCUUUUGGGUUAAAUCUGGCCCUUCCUUGGCAAAAGCAAAAAUUCUCCCUGUGAGAGCUCAACAUCUCAAAUACAACCACAGGAAAAAUGGCCCAAUCUGCCAGUUUAGGCUUACCAGCAUAUAAUUUUUAAUAUCUUUACUUCUAUCAUCCCAAAUCAAAGAACUCUUCUCUAUUAUGUUUAAUCAAUUGCAAGCAAAUAGAUUUUUCUUUGUAACAAUUUGUUCUGCAGAAGGCUGUUUUUCACUUUUCCUUUCUUUUGCUUCUUUCUGUCUUUCCUUCUCUUUGUCUGGAGAAAUCACUUAGACUCUGUGUGCCUCUUCUACAUUGCAUUCUGCUCUGCUACGUUACCUGCUAGGCUGGCUUCUUUGGACUCCCUAUGGGAUUGAUGAUGUGAAAACCUAAAUUACUUGCAGCAUAGUAUUACUUCUUUGAUGUUCUCAUUAGCGUAAUGUUAUUUUUGAAAAGGAAAGAUACUAUCACAUAAGUUUUUCCUCUUGUCCGUUGUGAUAUACACCAAUGGAUAAACUAACAGAAACUGGUUUUUGACAUUAAAAGACAUGAGAAAUUAUAUUUAACUAAGUAAAAGUUAAGUCAGAAUUACUUGGGUGAUGUGAUUCAAUUUAGUUAAAGGAUGAUAUAGAGAAAAUACAUUAUUUAGCAUUAUUUCUUCAGCUAUAAUGAAUUGCUAUAGAAAUCAGGCAGAUCUUUCUAAUGUGUAUUGAUUGGUCUUUUCAGCUACUCUGAACAGAUUACUAAGGCCAUCUCCUCAUCUCUAAGGGAGAAAAAUAGUCUGUAGAUGAAUAAUGUAAGGUAAAGAGUUGCAUGUCAGUCUUUGUAAUUAUUUACUCUUUAACUUUCUCCAGAACUCAGACAUGAUUUCAACAUGGUGUUAGAUUUGUGCAUUUUAUUUUCCUGACCACCUCAUUCCAGCCAAUGUAUGGUUAUCCACUCUGUGUGCCAAAACCAAUCAUGCCUUUCACGGCCCUUUAGUUCAGAGAAGUUCUGCACUGAUUUUUAGUCUCUUGCUGUCUCAAUCUUACAUGUAUACCAAUCACGAUGGAAUAAAGUGUGAGUUGUACUGUGA
rnacentral:sRNA from 1 species